ensembl:snRNA U6 U6 spliceosomal RNA
UUGCUUACUUUGGCAGCACAUAUACUAAAACUGGAACACUACAGGGAAGAUUAGCAUGACCCUGAAUAAUAAUGAUCAGCAAAUAUGUGAAACAUUUUUUU